rnacentral:rRNA from 1 species
GUCUUUUUGGUAUUUAAUAUAAAGUCUAGCCUGCCCACUGAAAAUAUUUUAAAGGGCCGCAGUAUUUUGACUGUGCAAAGGUAGCAUAAUCAUUAGUCUUUUAAUUGAAGGCUGGUAUGAAUGGUUGAAUAAGAUACAAGCUGUGUCAUAAAAAUUAAUAAUUGAAUUUAACUUUUUAGUCAAAAGGCUAAAAUUUAUUUAAAAGACGAGAAGACCCUAUAGAGCUUUAUAUAUUAAUUAUUUAGAUUAUUAAGAUUUUUAAAAUUUAAUUUUUGGGAUAUAUUUUGUUGGGGUGACAAUAAAAUUUAUAAAACUUUUAUUUUUAUUAAACAUUAAUUUAUGGUUAAAUGAUCCAGUUUUAUUGAUUAUAAAUUUAAGUUACCUUAGGGAUAACAGCGUAAUUUUUUUUGAGAGUUCUUAUCGACAAAAAAGAUUGCGACCUCGAUGUUGGAUUAAGAGUAAUUUUGGGUGCAGAAGUUCAAAGUUUAAGUCUGUUCGACUUUUAAAUUCUUACAU